UACGAAGGGGGCUAGCGUUGCUCGGAAUCACUGGGCGUAAAGGGUGCGUAGGUGGUCGGGUAAGUCUCAUGUGAAAUCUCCAAGCUUAACUUGGAAAUGGCAUGGGAUACUAUUCGGCUAGAGGAUUGGAGGGGGGACUGGAAUUCCCGGUGUAGCAGUGAAAUGCGUAGAUAUCGGGAGGAACACCAGUGGCGAAGGCGAGUCCCUGGACAAUUCCUGACGCUGAGGCACGAAAGCUAGGGGAGCAAACAGG
rnacentral:rRNA from 1 species